rnacentral:lncRNA from 10 species
UCUCCACAGCAGUGUGGCCAGUUCUGCUGAAUUUUGCUCCAAUCGUGUAGUGGUAGGCCUGUGGCUCAUAUUAGAUUUGGCCAGUGCUAGACUUUUUCAUCAGUAGAGUAGGGAGCUAUAGCCAGGACAUUUUCAUUUUUCAGUCUUGAACUCAAACCUCGCCUCUGAUUUUUCAUCAGACCCCAGAAAAUAUAAUCAUGCCUAUUUAUAGAAAUCCUGUCCAAUUGGAGUCCUGGCAAAUUAGAAAUAUUGUUUUCUUCUCUCUUAACAGGAACUGUGUCUGGGCUCAGUUUCCCUCGCCUUGCUUCAUUCAGUCCAUCUUUCAUCUCUUAAAUCCCAGCAUUGGGUGGAGACUGAGUGGCAGAGAAGGAGACUCAUACCUCUGUUCCCUUAGCCUGGUCGUCUGCCUGGAGGAGCUGGACAUUUCCAACUUCAUCUGAAGAUCGCCAUUUUGGAUGUUGGAUACUUCUCCUUUCUUUUUUUUGGUUUUUUUUUUUUUUUUUUUGAGACGGAGUCUCUCUCUGUCACCAGGCUGGAGUGUGCAACCUCCGCCUCCCAGGUUCAAGCGAUUAUCCUGCCUCAGACUCCCAAGUAGCUGGGAUUACAGGUGCCAGCCACCACGCCCGGCUAAUUUUUGUAUUUUUAGUAGAGACGGGGUUUCACCAUGUUGGCCAGGAUGGUCUCGAUCUCUUGACCUCGUGAUCUGCCCACCUUGGCCUCCCAAAGUGCUGGGAUUACAGGCGUGAGCCACCGCGCCUGGCCUUCUGCUUUCUUUAUCAUAUUGUAGUUCAGUUCCUGUAGUUUCAGGUUACUUAUUGUUAGGGAUGGGUGCUGACAUUUCGGGUCCCCUGGCUGGCAGCCAAGAUUCAAGAGCACUGUUUUCUUGCUGUCAAAUCACAUUGCACCAACAUCAAGUUGGAUAUAAAAGUCCCCACAAGUAUCAAUAAAAGACUGAUGGUGCCUUUUAUUAUUCUUUGGGCUGAAGUGAGAAACUGGAAGGCUAAAAGACAUGCGGAUAAAUGUGACAGGCCGAGUAUGCUCUGUAGUGUCAGCUCCUUCCCAAAACCCCGCUAACACUAUGGCAAAGAAAAGGUAUAAACUUACAAGAACGAAGAAAAAUGGAGAGAAAAAGAUAUCAGAGAAGAAAGAUCAGCAGAACUUGGGAACGUGAAAAGUGGAAGGCUGAGUGCUGUCUUGGCAGAAGGGAAAGCUGAGAGGCAGCAGGCCAGCUCACAUCCAAGAACCUCGGAAGAGCUCAGGAAUUGAAGACAGGAUCUCACUCUAUUGUUCAGGGUAGAGUGCAUUGGUG